AGCAGCAAAGACAGGCACGUACUCUGAAAGCACACAGUGAGCACCACUCAGUUUCCAGCAGACACACUAUAUAAUUACUGGAAUUCACCACCCUGUUGGCACUAUGGAAAGCAGAUCCAUAACAGAAGCAUGGGGAGCUGAGCACAAGUAUUUCAUUUUUAAAGAAAAGAAAGAAAAAUGUGAAUGCGAGGAAAUGACGACAUAUCUGUGCUGGGAAAUCCAGAUGGGACUUCUCUGACUACAGUGUCGCACGUCAUCUUGGAUAAUGACCAGCUUUGGUGCACACCCAACACUGGAGUGCAUAAGCACAUCUUCCUAGGAAGACACAGCAUGCUCUGCUAUUAUCUUUAAUUAGUUUCCACAGUAGACUCUAACACUCAAACUUUCUCUCUGCAUUUUUCUCCGUUAGCUAGCUUGAAUCAGUAAACACAGAAGUCAAGUAUUCAAUACCAAGCUUACUCAGGCUGAGACAGAAGAAAGCCACUGGCUAGAAACAAAGUCAAAAAAUAAUCUGUCGCCCAUACUACAAAAAAGUAGGUCAGCUUUCAUUCCCAGCAAGUAUCAACACACUACCACAUUAAAUGCCUUUAUGACAGAUUUGUAUCACACUGAAGAGUUUUCCUCUUAUCUCUUAGUCUGAUUAAUCAACAGCUGCCAAAUGCAGAAGUUAAUGAUUCCCAUUUUCUUCAACUUCUAGCCUUAUAUAAAUCACAGUUUUGUCUUUAUCUGACCUGAUAAACAUUUUCCAUUGUUCUCAGUUUAUGAAGGAACUUAGAAAUAAAUUUAAAAGUGCAGGUCCUGAAAGAAGAGCAGGGGAAAGAAACAAAAGCAGGAUACAACAGUGGGUAGAGUGGAGAGUGAAGCCUUUUCAGAGUACAGGCACGCAGUAUCAAGGAAAUACAAUCAGUUAUUUGCUCUGCAUGCUAAUGACACGGCAGGUUCAGCUUUCGCAUCACAGCCAUCGGUCUAUCAGCCUCCAACCCCUUUGCAAGAAAUUCUUUUAUUGUUUCAAGCCGUGCAGGGAGAAGGAGCAUGCUGCCUGAGAUACAGGACCAUCUCACCCCGUGAAGGUGUAUUUCUUGCAUGCUGAUCCAGGGGGCCGAAUAGACGCGCUUCACUGCUCUGAGCAGGUGGACUUGUAUAUGGUUGCUCAUCUUCACAGGGUGGGAAGAAGGCAUAAUAAAAAUGAAGUGACCAAAUAUU